rnacentral:rRNA from 1 species
AGACGCUGGCGGCGUGGAUUAGGCAUGCAAGUCGAACGGUAUCAUCCUUUCGGGGGUGAGAGAGUGGCGAACUGGUGAGUAACACGUAGGUUAUCUACCCUCAAGACGGGGACAACCCAGGGAAACUUGGGCUAAUACCGGAUGUGAGCAACUUUUAGUUGUUUGAAAGGUGGCGUAAGCUGUCGCUUGGGGAUGAGCCUGCGUCCUAUUAGUUAGUUGGUGAGGUAACGGCUCACCUAGGCAAUGAUAGGUAGGCGGCCUUAACGGGUGGUCGCCCACACUGGGAUUGAGAUACGGCCCAGACUCCUACGGGAGGCAGCAGUCGAGAAUAGUCUACAAUGGUCGGAAGACUGAUAGUGCGACGCCGCGUGAACGAUGAAUCCCUUCGGGGUGUAAAGUUCUUUUAUAUGUGAGCAGUGCUUCUUAUAUUAACAGUAUGGGGAGAGAGAUAUUAGCAUAUGAAUAAGCAACGGCUAACUCCGUG